GAUGAAGAACGUAGCUAAGUGCGAUAAGUAGUGUGAAUUGCAGAAUUUCGUGAAUCAUCGAAUCUUUGAACGCAAAUUGCACUCUCCGGUUUUCCGGGAGAGUAUGCCUGUUUGAGGGUCAGCCUAAAUAAAUUCGGCUUCGUUGCUGUUGUUUUCGCGGUAACGUUUUUAGUCGGGAUUUGGGUCAUCUUAAACCGAAAGGUUUUUAAGCGACUUAAAAUUUUUUUACGAUCCCUCGAACGUUUCUAAGUACUUCUUACACGUUCAAGGUAUCGAAAACCCCUAUUAGGCGUGGCCGUCGUAUCGGAUCGCGUCCAUAAUAUUUAUUCUUUAACUGACCUCAGACAGGUAAGAAUACCCGCUGAACUUAAGCAUAUCAAUAAGCGGAGGA
rnacentral:misc_RNA from 1 species